GAUGAAGAACGCAGUGAAAUGCGAUAAGUAAUGUGAAUUGCAGAAUUCAGUGAAUCAUCGAAUCUUUGAACGCACCUUGCGCCUUUUGGUAUUCCGAAAGGCACACCUGUUUGAGCGUCAUGAAUACCUCAAUCUCCAUCUUUUCUUCGGAUUGAUGGGUGACUUGGAUGUUUAGCCCUGCUGGUAUGCUAUAUCAGCUGGCUUUAAACUUAUUAGCCGGCUCUGUACUGGAUCGGUUUGACUCGACGUGAUAAUAUUAUCGUUGAGGAUGCAUGUCUCAUGCAGCCGGAAAGUAUCAAAGCAGCUUCUAGCUUGCCUUUAGUGCACUUUUACAUUUUAGACCUCAGAUCAGGUGGGACUACCCGCUGAACUUAAGCAUAUCAAUAAGCGGAGGA
rnacentral:misc_RNA from 1 species